CUCAUCCGGGGCACGUUGGAUCCCGAUGCGUUGCAAAAGUUGAUUCACCAAAGUUGUCUGUUGUGCAAGGGUGCUCGUCAACUCUAUGACUUGUCGAGACAAGUGUUGUUCGCCAUUUGGAUUGGAAGAGCUUGGAAGGAAUGCGCCUCCUUGAGCAGUGGAAGGGUGGUAGACUCCGGGCGCGAGAUUUGAGUUGGGAAAUGUCAAAUCCGCGAAAAAAUGUGGUGAGAAUGCCCCCGGCUCGAUGGUAGGUCCAGAUGGUUGAGAUAGUUUUGGGCCGACUUGGGCUGCUUGGAAAGCCACGGGAGCAGUGUGGGCCUUGAGAGUGGGCUGCUCGUCGGGAGUGGACUGCUCGUUGGGAGCAGGCUGCUCAAUGCGCGGUGCAUGUGAAUGCGAGGCUUGGGCUUGGGUCCACGUGAACUUGGAUGGCACGGCUUGGAUCGUGGUCUUGGUACCGUGAGCCUUGGAUGGCACGGCUCGGGCCGUGGUGAAGGCUCCAUGGACCUCGCC
rnacentral:lncRNA from 1 species